GCACUGGUAGCUCAGGGGUAGAGCAAUCGGCUGCAGCUGUUCAAAUUCCAAAAUAAGGACAAAGCUUCCGAUAGGUCCCUGGUUCAAAUCCGGGUCAGUGCU